rnacentral:rRNA from 1 species
GAAGGGACCUAGCGUAGUUCGGAAUUACUGGGCUUAAAGAGCACGUAGGUGGUUAAAAAAGUUGGUGGUGAAAUCCCAGAGCUUAACUCUGGAACUGCCAUCAAAACUUUUUAGCUAGAGUAUGAUAGAGGAAAGUGGAAUUUCUAGUGUAGAGGUGAAAUUCGUAGAUAUUAGAAAGAAUACCAAUUGCGAAGGCAGCUUUCUGGAUCAUUACUGACACUGAGGUGCGAAAGCAUGGGUAGCGAAGAGGAUUAGAUACCCUCGUAGUCCAUGCCGUAAACGAUGUGUGCUAGACGUUGGAAAUUUAUUUUCAGUGUCGCAGCAAAAGCAUUAAGCACACCGCCUGGGGAGUACGACCGCAAGGUUAAAACUCAAAUGAAUUGACGGGGACCCGCACAAGCAGUGGAGCAUGUGGUUUAAUUCGAAGAUACGCGCAGAACCUUACCAACACUUGACAUGUUCGUCGCGACUUUAAGAGAUUAAAGUCUUCGGUUCGGCCGGACGGAACACAGGUGCUGCAUGGCUGUCGUCAGCUCGUGUCGUGAGAUGUUGGGUUAAGUCCCGCAACGAGCGCAACCCUUACUUUUAGUUGCCAUCAUUUAGUUGGGCACUCUGAAAGAACUGCCAGUGAUAAGCUGGAGGAAGGUGGGGAUGACGUCAAGUCCUCAUGGCCCUUACGUGUUGGGCUACACACGUGCUACAAUGGCAUUUACAAUAGGAAGCAAGAUGGCGACAUUAAGCAAAUCCUAAAAAAAUGCCUCAGUUCGGAUUGUACUCUGCAACUCGAGUACAUGAAGCUGGAAUUGCUAGUAAUCGCGGAUCAGCGCGCCGCGGUGAAUACGUUCCCGGGUCUU